rnacentral:rRNA from 1 species
UUAAGCGACUAAGCGUACACGGUGGAUGCCCUGGCAGUCAGAGGCGAUGAAGGACGUGCUAAUCUGCGAUAAGCGUCGGUAAGGUGAUAUGAACCGUUAUAACCGGCGAUUUCCGAAUGGGGAAACCCAGUGUGAUUCGUCACACUAUCAUUAACUGAAUCCAUAGGUUAAUGAGGCGAACCGGGGGAACUGAAACAUCUAAGUACCCCGAGGAAAAGAAAUCAACCGAGAUUCCCCCAGUAGCGGCGAGCGAACGGGGAGCAGCCCAGAGCCUGAAUCAGUGUGUGUGUUAGUGGAAGCGUCUGGAAAGGCGCGCGAUACAGGGUGACAGCCCCGUACACAAAAAUGCACAUGCUGUGAGCUCGAUGAGUAGGGCGGGACACGUGGUAUCCUGUCUGAAUAUGGGGGGACCAUCCUCCAAGGCUAAAUACUCCUGACUGACCGAUAGUGAACCAGUACCGUGAGGGAAAGGCGAAAAGAACCCCGGCGAGGGGAGUGAAAAAGAACCUGAAACCGUGUACGUACAAGCAGUGGGAGCACAGAGCAAUCUGUGUGACUGCGUACCUUUUGUAUAAUGGGUCAGCGACUUAUAUUCUGUAGCAAGGUUAACCGAAUAGGGGAGCCGAAGGGAAACCGAGUCUUAACUGGGCGUUAAGUUGCAGGGUAUAGACCCGAAACCCGGUGAUCUAGCCAUGGGCAGGUUGAAGGUUGGGUAACACUAACUGGAGGACCGAACCGACUAAUGUUGAAAAAUUAGCGGAUGACUUGUGGCUGGGGGGGAAAGGCCAAUCAAACCGGGAGAUAGCUGGUUCUCCCCGAAAGCUAUUUAGGUAGCGCCUCGUGAAUUCAUCUCCGGGGGUAGAGCACUGUUUCGGCAAGGGGGUCAUCCCGACUUACCAACCCGAUGCAAACUGCGAAUACCGGAGAAUGUUAUCACGGGAGACACACGGCGGGUGCUAACGUCCGUCGUGAAGAGGGAAACAACCCAGACCGCCAGCUAAGGUCCCAAAGUCAUGGUUAAGUGGGAAACGAUGUGGGAAGGCCCAGACAGCCAGGAUGUUGGCUUAGAAGCAGCCAUCAUUUAAAGAAAGCGUAAUAGCUCACUGGUCGAGUCGGCCUGCGCGGAAGAUGUAACGGGGCUAAACCAUGCACCGAAGCUGCGGCAGCGACGCUUAUGCGUUGUUGGGUAGGGGAGCGUUCUGUAAGCCUGCGAAGGUGUGCUGUGAGGCUUGCUGGAGGUAUCAGAAGUGCGAAUGCUGACAUAAGUAACGAUAAAGCGGGUGAAAAGCCCGCUCGCCGGAAGACCAAGGGUUCCUGUCCAACGUUAAUCGGGGCAGGGUGAGUCGACCCCUAAGGCGAGGCCGAAAGGCGUAGUCGAUGGGAAACAGGUUAAUAUUCCUGUACUUGGUGUUACUGCGAAGGGGGGACGGAGAAGGCUAUGUUGGCCGGGCGACGGUUGUCCCGGUUUAAGCGUGUAGGCUGGUUUUCCAGGCAAAUCCGGAAAAUCAAGGCUGAGGCGUGAUGACGAGGCACUACGGUGCUGAAGCAACAAAUGCCCUGCUUCCAGGAAAAGCCUCUAAGCAUCAGGUAACAUCAAAUCGUACCCCAAACCGACACAGGUGGUCAGGUAGAGAAUACCAAGGCGCUUGAGAGAACUCGGGUGAAGGAACUAGGCAAAAUGGUGCCGUAACUUCGGGAGAAGGCACGCUGAUAUGUAGGUGAAACGACUUGCUCGUGGAGCUGAAAUCAGUCGAAGAUACCAGCUGGCUGCAACUGUUUAUUAAAAACACAGCACUGUGCAAACACGAAAGUGGACGUAUACGGUGUGACGCCUGCCCGGUGCCGGAAGGUUAAUUGAUGGGGUCAGCGCAAGCGAAGCUCUUGAUCGAAGCCCCGGUAAACGGCGGCCGUAACUAUAACGGUCCUAAGGUAGCGAAAUUCCUUGUCGGGUAAGUUCCGACCUGCACGAAUGGCGUAAUGAUGGCCAGGCUGUCUCCACCCGAGACUCAGUGAAAUUGAACUCGCUGUGAAGAUGCAGUGUACCCGCGGCAAGACGGAAAGACCCCGUGAACCUUUACUAUAGCUUGACACUGAACAUUGAGCCUUGAUGUGUAGGAUAGGUGGGAGGCUUUGAAGUGUGGACGCCAGUCUGCAUGGAGCCGACCUUGAAAUACCACCCUUUAAUGUUUGAUGUUCUAACGUUGACCCGUGAUCCGGGUUGCGGACAGUGUCUGGUGGGUAGUUUGACUGGGGCGGUCUCCUCCUAAAGAGUAACGGAGGAGCACGAAGGUUGGCUAAUCCUGGUCGGACAUCAGGAGGUUAGUGCAAUGGCAUAAGCCAGCUUGACUGCGAGCGUGACGGCGCGAGCAGGUGCGAAAGCAGGUCAUAGUGAUCCGGUGGUUCUGAAUGGAAGGGCCAUCGCUCAACGGAUAAAAGGUACUCCGGGGAUAACAGGCUGAUACCGCCCAAGAGUUCAUAUCGACGGCGGUGUUUGGCACCUCGAUGUCGGCUCAUCACAUCCUGGGGCUGAAGUAGGUCCCAAGGGUAUGGCUGUUCGCCAUUUAAAGUGGUACGCGAGCUGGGUUUAGAACGUCGUGAGACAGUUCGGUCCCUAUCUGCCGUGGGCGCUGGAGAACUGAGGGGGGCUGUUCCUAGUACGAGAGGACCGGAGUGGACGCAUCACUGGUGUUCGGGUUGUCAUGCCAAUGGCACUGCCCGGUAGCUAAAUGCGGAAGAGAUAAGUGCUGAAAGCAUCUAAGCACGAAACUUGCCCCGAGAUGAGUUCUCCCUGACUCCUUGAGAGUCCUGAAGGAACGUUGAAGACGACGACGUUGAUAGGCCGGGUGUGUAAGCGCAGCGAUGCGUUGAGCUAACCGGUACUAAUGAACCGUGAGGCUUAACCUU